rnacentral:misc_RNA from 1 species
GAUGAAGAACGUAGCGAAAUGCGAUAAGUAAUGUGAAUUGCAGAUUUCAGUGAAUCAUCGAAUCUUUGAACGCACCUUGCACCCUUUGGCAUUCUGAAGGGUAUGCUCGUUUGAGUGUCAUUGUACUCUCACACUCCCGAUCUUUGCAUUGGGAGCAGUGGACUUGGGUUUGCUGCUUCACCGUCGCUUACCUCAAAUAGGUUAGUGCAACUCUUGGUUGGACAUAGUACGGCGUGAUAAGUGUUCUUCGCCGGUGCCUCGCAAAGAGGGUGGCCGAUCGGGAUGUUUGUGCUCCAAACCGUCUUCGGACAAUCUCUGACGACUUGACCUCAAAUCGAGUAAGACUACCCGCUGAACUUAAGCAUAUCAAUAAGCGGAGGA